ensembl:lncRNA
GUAGUAUUUUACUGUGUGACUUUCACUUUUACUUGAGUAAAAGUACAGGUAUCUUCAUAGAAAUGACUCAAGUAUGACAGUUGGGUACUUUUUCCACCACUGCUUGUUUGUAUAGUGCAUAAGUAGUCAAAACAUUACAGGCAGAUGACACCAGUUUUUCAGCUCGUGGCUGCACUUCCUGUGCUUGUGACCACAGAAGAAGGCAACAAGAAUAGGGUUGAAUGGGGGAACCCUCUCCCUUUUCCCGGGAAUAAAUAACUGCGAGAAACAGACUACCUGCACGGACUCUAUGCCCAUCCUCAGGUCUCUACCACUUAGCCACAUACACCUUCACUGACACUCUUCACAUCCACGUGUACACACACACUCAUGCACCCAUGCUCACACACUCCCCACUGACACCUCACACAUACACUCACACUCAAUCAUUACCAUGCAUGCACCACAUAUGCUGCUGCCAUAAUUGAUUGAUUUAUUAUAGGGAUUCAUAUUAUCAUCCGAUGCUGCUGUAUUGUUUGUCACGAUUAUUAUUAUCCUUCAGUAUUUAUCCUGCUACCAGCCACUUUAACCUUUUACUGCAGUGGGCUAUAUCAGGGUCACACAAAGUGUUUAUUGGUAGUCUUUAACAAAUCUACCUUGAAACAUAAGUGUACACCUCACACAUGGUUAUGGGCUUAAAAAAAUAAGACAUCUGUACCAUGUCAGAUAUGAAGUUGAAAUGUAUUCAAUUUUGAGUUUGCAUCCCAAUAUUACACUUUAUAUACAUCACAAAAGUCUGAAAUAUAACAAAAAUGUUUGAUAUAGAAACACCAGAUUUUCUCCGGUUAAAACAAAAUAAAGUUCAAUUAAAUAUGAAAUUAUGAAAAAGAUGAAUAACAUUCCACCCAUCAGGCCACUAGAUCAUUUGACUGCAGGAAAGGGAUACCCCUUGUUUACAUGUACAUUUCUACCUCAAUCACUCCAGUACUCCUGCACAUUGUAACAAUGGUAUUAGCACUGCACUCACCUGUAUACAGUAUACCUUAACUGCACUUACCUGUAUAUAGUAUACUUUAACU